rnacentral:rRNA from 1 species
UAUUAGUCAAUGCUCGCAAGAGUGAACUAGCUAACUGAAAUCAACGGUGUGUCAUCGUUGAUAAGGUAAGGGAAAAGAAAUGAUAUUACCUUACUACUAGUGUCGUCCAAGUACUCGUGCCAGAAGACUCGGUAAGGCGAGAGACGCAAACGUUAGUCGUCUUAAUCAGGCGUAAAGGGUUUGUAGGCGGCUUUAAGAAUUUUUUAUUUCAAUAUAAAAUUUGAAUGUUAAAAAAUCAAUUAAAGCUAGAAUCAAAAAGAGGUCACAUUAAAUAAUACUUGGUUCAAGGUUGGUAUCUUAAAACCCCAAGUAGAAUACUAACGGCGAAGGCUUUUUUCCAAUAAUGAUUGACGCUGAGAAACUAAGGUGAGGAUAGAAAAAAGGAUUAGAGACCCUCGUAUCCCUCACUGUCAACGAUGAAUGGUAGUUACUAGAUAAAUAAUAAUUUAUUGUUUUAAUAAAAAUAAAUUACAGAAUCUAGAGACGAUGUUAACACGAAAACCAUUCCGCCUUGUGAGUACAACUGCAAAGUUGAAAACAAAAAAAUUAGUCGGUUUCGGAGCAAACGAAGUGAAGCAUGUUAUUUAA